rnacentral:rRNA from 1 species
UACGAAGGGGGCUAGCGUUGUUCGGAAUUACUGGGCGUAAAGCGCACGCAGGCGGAUUUAUAAGUCAGGGGUGAAAUCCCGGGGCUCAACCUCGGAAUUGCCCUUGAUACUGUCUAUCUUGAGUCCGGGAGAGGUGAGUGGAAUUCCUAGUGUAGAGGUGAAAUUCGUAGAUAUUAGGAAGAACACCAGUGGCGAAGGCGGCUCACUGGUCCGGUACUGACGCUGAGGUGCGAAAGCGUCGGGAGCAAACAGG